rnacentral:rRNA from 1 species
AGUUUUUUGCGGGCUCAGGAUGAACGCUGGCGGCAGGCUUAAUACAUGCAAGUCGAACGGUAACGACCGGUAGCUAUUUUGGGGCGACUAGUGACGCACGGGUGCAUAACGCGAAUGCAACCUACCCUCAACCGGGGCAUAACGCCGAGAAAUUGGCGCUAAUAUCCCAUGUGUAUAUGGAGUGGCAUCUCUUCAUAUUUAAAGAUCCGUUGGUUAAGGAUGGGCAUGCGUACCAUUAGCUAGUUGGCGGGGUAACGGCUCACCAAGCCUACGAUGUUUAGGGGUUCUGAGAGGAUUCUCCCCCACACUGGAACUGAGACACGGUCCAGACUCCUACGGGAGGCAGCAGUAGGGAAUAUUGGUCAAUGGAGGCAACUCUGACCCAGCCAUGCCGCGUGCAGGAAGACGGCCCUAUGGGUUGUAAACUUCUUUUGCAGCAGAGUAACCUCGGGUACGUGUCCGCCCUUGCGAGUACUUGGCGAAUAAGCAUCGGCUAACUCCGUGCCAGCAGCCGCGGUAAUACGGGGGAUACGAGCGUUAUCCGGAUUUAUUGGGUUUAAAGGGUGCGCAGGCGGACUGAUAAGUCAGGGGUGAAAAGUUCGCGGCUCAACUCCAAUCGUGCCUUUGAUACUGUCGGUCUAGAGUGCAGGGGACGAGAGCUGGAAUGUGAGUGUGUAGGGGUGAAAUCUGUAGAUAUCUGGAAGAACCCCAAUGGCGAAGGCAGCCUAUCUGCAGUCUGACUGACGCUCAGGCUCGAAGGCGCGGGGAUCAAACAGGAUUAGAUACCCUGGUAGUCCGCACAGUAAACGA